rnacentral:lncRNA from 1 species
CUCACACACACACACACGUUCACCUACCCCUUCUUUAGAGUGAAUUCCUAAUUUCUAAAUCUUCUUUCUAAGUCUCCCCACUGAUACCGAGACUAGCUGGAGUCAGCAGUGCCAUCUGGGCAGGGUGCCCCAAAUUGGAACUGAUCCUGUAUGGUCUCCAGUUGGCAGAAGCUCCUACCUUACAGUUUUGUAAGUUGCCAUCCAAAGCCUGAGACUGGCCAGUGGGCUGGCAGUUGGCCCAGUUUCUGUUUUUCCCCUUGUUUGAGGUCCACCAGAGACCAGAGACUCAUGCCUAUGGGGUAGUUCCAGGAUUCUAUGGCCAGCCCUAGUUCCAGAAAGGCAAUUUGAUGAGUUGAUUGCUCUUACUGACCAAAAUGACAUGUUGAUUUUGUGUGAUUCUCAUGUCAGACACAGGGCAAGUUGAGAGCUCUGGGCCACUAACUGUCCAUAGUUAACCCUUGGACUCAAGCCGUAGCUGUCCUAUAUCAGCAUUCUGGCUGCAGCGUUGCCUCCCGUCUAGAGCAUUCAAGUACGACACGGUGGUAGCAGUCACCCUUUACCCUGUGCAUACUUCAUCACUUGCACUCAGGGAGGUUUCCCAACCCCCUCUGCUGGCUCUAGAGCACAUGUCAGGCAGUUCUCUAGGGAUGGCUGUCCCUUUCUCUCCCAAAGGUAUUCAAGACCACUGCUCCACAGUCGGCCUUUUCAAUUGGUGUCCUUCUUGCCUACCGUCAGUGUGGUGAUGUCAAUGUGGUACCAUUUCAAUACAAAUAGGUUCUGAAGAGCGCUGGCAUUGCAACUAGUAACAAUAUUGUUAACUUUUCCUUGCAGUGGGAGAUAUGAAAUUAGCCAGGAAUAACAUAUUUGACAAUAAAGAAAAAACACAAAAAGAUGGUACCUGGACACUAUGAAGAAUCUUCAUCUGCACUUACUGGACAGUAGCCAAAUGGACUUAAGACAUUUUAUUUGGAUAUUCAAGGAAGACAUCACCCAGGAGGCUGAAGGGCUUGAGGCUAUUUGAGAAACAGAAGAAAGAGAAACCCAUGCAGCUAACAGACUCAGUCACUAAGUCACAAUUCCAACUCCUCCUGGCAGAAAAUCUAAUGACUCAUCUUGGCUCUGGCUUCUGAUCUGCUGUGGCCAAGUUAAGGAGCAGAUAUCACAUGGUGAUUGGACUGCCUCUUCCAGUGCUGUGAGUCCUCUCACAGAGAGGAGUAAGUGGAGAAAGAAUGAUUGGCACCUCUAGAGUACACACCAAGCCAAUCUGCAGAUCACAGGGAAGGUGACCUGAAGGUUAUUUUAUGAACUGCUCAAGAUAGAACAGAAACAACUUUGCCUUACACUUUACACAUUACUUAUCCAGGCACUUUCGGGAAAGUAAAAGUUGCAAAGUAAAGUUAUAUAACAUAGAGUAAAAUCCUAAAAGGUAGUCUACACACACACACACACGCACACCCCCCCCCC